AUUGAACGCUGGCGGCCGGCCUAACACAUGCAAGUCGAACGAGUGGCGGACGGGUGAGUCAUGUCUGGGAACCUGCCCGAUGGCGGGGGAUAACUCCUGGAAACGGUAGCUAAUACCGCAUACCAUCGGAUGUGCCCAGAUGGGAUUAGCUAGUUGGUGGGGUAACGGCUCACCUAGGCGACGAUCCCUAGCUGGUCUGAGAGGAUGAACAGCAACACUGGAAAUGAGACACGGUCCAGACUCCUACGGGAGGCAGCAGUGGGGAAUAUUGCACAAUGGGCGCAAGCCUGAUGCAGCCAUGCCGCGUGUAUGAAGAAGGCCUUCGGGUUGUAAAGUACUUUCAGCGAGGAGGCGUUACUCGCAGAAGAAGCACCGGCUAACUCCGUGCCAGCAGCCGCGGUAAUUC
rnacentral:rRNA from 1 species